rnacentral:rRNA from 1 species
AGCUCGGGGAUGACUUGUGGGUAGCGGUGAAAUUCCAAUCGAGCCCGGAGAUAGCUGGUUCUCCCCGAAAUAGCUUUAGGGCUAGCCUCAAGGUGAGAGAUACGGAGGUAGAGCACUGAAUGUCCUAGGGGGUAUUGCACCUACCGAAGACUAUCAAACUCCGAAUGCCGUCAUCUUAUACUUGGGAGUCAGACUGUGGGUGAUAAGAUUCAUAGUCAAAAGGGCAACAGCCAGAUCGUCAGCUAAGGUCCCUAAAUGUAAGUUAAGUGGUAAAGGAUGUGGGAUUGCACAGACAACCAGGAUGUUGGCUUAGAAGCAGCCACUCAUUCAAAGAGUGCGUAAUAGCUCACUGGUCGAGUGAUCCUGCGCCGAAGAUUUCCGGGGCUAAAACUUACUACCGAAGCUACGGCAUCAUUAUGAUGGGUAGGGGAGCUUCCCAUACGGGUUGAAGCAUGACCGUAAGGACAUGU